rnacentral:rRNA from 1 species
AUUGAACGCUGGCGGCAUGCCUUACACAUGCAAGUCGAACGGCAGCACGGGUGCUUGCACCUGGUGGCGAGUGGCGAACGGGUGAGUAAUACAUCGGAACAUGUCCUGUAGUGGGGGAUAGCCCGGCGAAAGCCGGAUUAAUACCGCAAACGAUCUACGGAUGAAAGCGGGGGACCUUCGGGCCUCGCGCUAUAGGGUUGGCCGAUGGCUGAUUAGCUAGUUGGUGGGGUAAAGGCCUACCAAGGCGACGAUCAGUAGCUGGUCUGAGAGGACGACCAGCCACACUGGGACUGAGACACGGCCCAGACUCCUACGGGAGGCAGCAGUGGGGAAUUUUGGACAAUGGGCGAAAGCCUGAUCCAGCAAUGCCGCGUGUGUGAAGAAGGCCUUCGGGUUGUAAAGCACUUUUGUCCGGAAAGAAAUCCUUGGCCCUAAUACGGUCGGGGGAUGACGGUACCGGAAGAAUAAGCACCGGCUAACUACGU